AAAACGAAGUGUCUGUGGGCAGCCGUGAUUAACAAUAGUCCGAGGCUAAGGGCUGUUCUUGGCUCCAUGGGGUUUCUGCAGGAACUUCAAUACGACAGGAAGAUCAACCAAGCAAAGAACCUAGAAGGGAAGAAAGAAAAAGUUUCCUUCCCCUCCAGUUUUGGUGCCCAGUGGGGGGCACUUCGCGGCCUGGGCACGGCUCGUUCUGCUGCUGUGGCCACUGAGAAGUCCCAGGACUCCAGAUGAGAGCAGGCAGAAGACAUGCCUCUUUGAAAUACCUCACUGCCUGGACAAUAUAGGCCUAACCUUGGGAAGCCGCCUGCCUCACUGCUCCUGAAAUGAGUCACAACGUUCUCAGGACUGAGACUGGUUCACCUCCAGGCCUAGCAUGGAACCCAUCCUGGGUCCUGAAUUCAAGACCCUGAGAUCAAGACCUGAGCUGAGAUCAAGAGUCAGAUGCUUCACUGACUGAGCCACCCAGGUGCCUCCUGGCUCUUUUGUGUUUUAAGGUCAACACCAUUGACCUCCCCAGUGGAAAUUCUUUUUCCCACCUCUGUACUUUCCUACCACUUCAUCUUGGCACUGUUCAAGCACAUACCCACUUCUCUUAUAUUCUA